CCUCAGGGAUACUAGUCAGGUUCUUAACUCACUGAGCCUCAAUGGGAACUCUUUUAAUUACAUUUUUAUCACAAUCAUACAAGAUUAAAUUUUUGAUCUAGUAUCUAGAAACCAACCUAAGAUUUUUCUCCCUCUCUGUCCAUUCUACAAGUGACCAAUAAAUGUUAUUUCUGUGGCAGCUGCCUAAUUAACACUCUCAACCUCAGUCUUACUUAGAUUGAAUAAAAAAAAAAUCUGUCUAGGUGAGAGGGCAGAGGCUGCCAUGAAGACUGUUGUUGAAACUUGGCUUCUGUUCACCAGGGCCAAAUAGAAUUGUGGAGACAGAGUUUUUGGGGAAGUAGAAAAGAAGAGCUUUUUGAUUUGCCAUGCAAAUCAGGAAACACAGUGGGUUAAUGUCUCCAAGAACUGUGUGCCUCCCCGCUCCCCCCCACCCCCUGGACGGGGUAGUGAGGAGCCUUACAGUGCUCAAGAAGCAGAGUGUGGUUAGCUCGUGGACAUUCUUCUGAUUGGUGGAUGGUGAGGUAAUUGGCAGUCAGCAUCAUCAACCUUCUGGUUCCAACUGGUCCGGGGACUACAUACUGGUGGGCAGCAUACUGUUAACUUCUUCCACCUGGUGGGGGCUUCAGUAUCUGCAAAACAUCUGCAAGGACAUGGCUCAGAAUAUUCUCUAUAGUCCUUGAGGAAGAACUAAAGGUCCUAGACUUUUUUGAAUGGCUGCACUACUCUUACUUUGUCUUGCUAGACUGUUUUUUUUUUUUUCUUUCUGCAUUUUCUCACUUCUCCAAUUAAAUUUAUUUUUUGACUAAAGUUUUUCUACACACAAAAGGACAUGGGUGGAGAUCUAUUCUGGGAAGGCCCCAUAGGGUCCUGCUCAGUUACAAGGCCUCUCCUAACUGGGCUAAAGCCCCAAAUAUCACACUCUGGAAUUUCUUUCAUUGAGAAGACAGUUUUUGUACCACGAUGUCAAUGAAUUUACCAGAACAUAUAAGAGCCCAACGGGUCUGAAUGAAUCUGACUUUUAACCAGCACUGCAGGUAAUUAAUGUGAUCAACUUCAACCACAGUUCUUUCUUAAUGACUGCAUAUUAUUUAAAAGCAAACCCCAAGCCUGUUAUUCAUUUAACUUUAGGUUAAGUUAUCUCAAGUGAGUCCAAUUAAGGAAACCUCUUGUGUAUUUCUUUAAGGGAUGGCCAGAAAGAUCCAACAAAGUUCUAAGGCAUUUUUGAGCUCUUUCCCCUGACUUCCUUGUAGCUGAGGUUUUGCUAAAAUAAAAUAAGGAAGACUUGUGCCUUGGGGCAGAGCUAUAGAACUAGAGCAUGACUCUUAGUUUUCAUUUAAGACAAGAAGACCCUUCAGGAAAUCAGUGUUUGCUUGCCCUCAUCAUUAGGUAAGCACACAGCUGGGAGUGGGUGGGCGCACGUUUCUGGAACGUGCCCCACCUCCUCACCCUGCUCUCCUGAGGUGACGUGUGUUUUGAGGGUGCACUUCUCACUCCUAGGAUUCCUGCCUCUCUCCUCAGAGACUUGCAGAAAGCUGCCUCCAGAUGCAAGUUCCAAGCUCUUUGAAUGUAUCAGCUCACUACUUCCUAGCCUCCAAAGUCUGUAAUGAGAAAUCUACUGAUAAUCUUAAGGAGGAUCCCUUGUAUGUGAGUGACUUAAUCCUUUAUAGACUAUGGGCUCAUAGGUCAUGGAUGGGACAUUUGACUCAUUUUUUCUCACUGUGAUAUAGAGGUGGGUGAAAAUAAAACACAAUGUUCCUUGUUGCUCAUGUUUGUUUAGUUCACCUUGAACCUUGCUUAUAAUUAAUUUCAAUCAGCACAAUUAAGAGAGGGAAGGAAAGUGGAAAAAGGCAGAGGUCUCCUGCUUGAAUGCACUAAAAUCUGCAACAAGUUCUUAUGGGAGUGUUAUGUUUCCUAUAGUUGGGGAAAAACUAACUUCAUUUUAUUUUAAAAGUAAAGGCUGAACGAUAGCAGAAAAGCCAAAAAAAGGUCAUGAAAGGUCUCACUGUAGUUUAAACCUGAGUAAGUGAAAUAUGUUUAAGCUAAAUCUUGAAUGUGUCCAGCUUUUUGAGUAUUGAGACAAAUCAAGGAUCCCAGGAAAAUCCAGUAAAAUAGCAUCCAAUUGGAUAUAAAUUGACCCUUUGAUGCCAGUUAAUUUUCAGCCAGUCCCUGAAAGAAAUGUGAAGUUGGUAUAUUUAUAAACAUAAUGAAUAUAUUUAAGUAUACUGAUUUAUAUUAAUAGCCUUAGAAAAAAACAAAGCCCUACUUAUAAAUAAAAAGCCACAUAGGUUGCUGAGAUCUGCUUGGUAUAUAGGUAUUUUCAUGGUGUUCUACUGAAAAUUUAUACUGUUUAUAAUUAAGGGUAAAAAGGCUUCUCUUAAUCUUAAGUGGGCACUAAAUAUAAUCAACUAGUGCUUUAAUAAGGUCAAAAUAAAUUGUAUGGUUAUGUGGAAACCCACUAAAUUGAGGGAAUGGAUUAGAUAAUAGUUGAUUAGAUAGAAAGGAAAGUUAGUAAGGAGUCACAGAAUAAAUUAAAAAAAAUGUAUCCAUCUUUCUGUCAAAUGCAGUAGAGACCAGGUGUUCCCAAGGAGAGGCUUGGCGGGGGGGGGGGGCUUUAUUUUAAUGAGAGAAAAUAAUCUCUAAUUAGUUGCUAAAGUUCUUGAAAACAUUUGUACUUGAAUAAAAUCCCCCCCAGUCUUGGUGAUGGCAUUAUUUUUUGCGACACCUCCCUAUACUUUUUUUCCUUUCUAAUUUCAAAGGAAAUUUCCAGCACAAAUGGUGUCACAGUAGCAUCCUUGGUGGCCACCUUAAUGAAGACUAACUGUACUUUUCUUUGGACCCCUGCUGGAAGCAUUUUAUAAUUUUUACUCCUCUCUCCAUGAAUAAAAUGAAAAAAUAACAACAUGAAACAUACACAACAUUAAAACUAGAGUUCCAAAAAAGGGAGUGUGUGUGUAUAUUUGCUAAGUUUAUAUAUAUAUAUAUAAACUUAGCAAAUUACUAAGCAAUGUGUAUAGUAGAACCCAUUUUUGUAUUCUGAGAAACCCACUUGCUGAGAAUGCAUUAUAUAUGUUCAUAGCAUAUGCAUAUACAUACAUAUUGUUAUAUAUGAAUAAAACAAUCUGAAGCUUAAGAAUAAUGGUUAUUUCUGGGAAGUGGAUCUGAUAGAUUGAACUUUUUAUAUUUUUGAUGGGUGGCAAACAUACGUAUAAACUCUUAUUUUGAAAGGGGAAAAAACUCAAACAUAGAAAUAAAAAUAUAGUUGGACCAUAGAGUAAAAAUUCAGUUAUUUGAAUCAUAUCAAACUUCACAAUAGUUUGAGUUGGUUUAAAUUUAUCUUUGUAAUCACUGAAUUUGCGAAGCAAAUAAUGUAAAGAAGUGCACAGGGACUGGUCAAUUAAACUGCUUCCAAGCAUUUGAAACCACUGUGAUAUUAACGUAUUACAUAGAAAUAAGUAAAUAUACUUAUAAAAUUUUAAAAAGAACCAAAUAAGUGGGAGGGCUUGUUAAUUUGACUCAUUUCUUAGGGACUUAAAUAUAUUCUAUGUAAAAAUAUAAAGAACCUUAUAGCAAAAUGAGUAAGUCCACAUAUGAACUUAAAGAGGAAAAUCAUUAUACUUUGGCUCCAUUUAUUAUACAAAUUGAAGGGCUACAAAGGUAGAUUUGCCGACCCUUGUGGAUGUAGAAUCUUUAACACAGCUACCGCUUCCAUUGACACGUUCUGGCCAGAGCUCCCUCUGGGAAGAGCAGAAUAAGCCCCAGAUGGUUUCCAGCUCUAAGAGUCUCUGUGCCUAGGGCACUAUUUACUAUGGCAAACAGUACAAAUAUGCUGGUUCAGUCCAAGGUUGGAUCACCUCCAUGAAGGUCAAAUUCCCAGCAUUCCAGCCCCAUCUAGUAGCUUCCAGGAAAGAUGGUCGUCUUCUCUGCCACUAGAAAAGUCUGAACAGCCAAGUGCCCAAGUUAGUCUAGAAAAGGUUAUUCCUUUUUAACUUGUUCUGGGAGAGAAGGAAGACAGUAUUGUGGAAAAGCGGGUAGAAGGCAUCUCACUGGAGGCCCAGGGGUUAGGUUCUGGUCCCAGACCUGCCACUGUCCAGCUGCGAGAUUUGGGUAUAUCAGUUGAUCUGCAAUCCUUGGUUUUGCCAUCCAGGAAAAGAAGUCAUUUUAGUCUCAGUGACCCCUCUAGGUCCUAACAUUCUCAUUUUGGUUUUUUUGGACAGAGAUGGAUCCCAGUCAUAUUUACUGUGUAGUGUUGCUCUUUAUUAUUUUUUCUUUCUAGGGCCAUAUCUGCAGCAUAUGGAAGUUCCCAGGCUAGGGGUCAAAUAGGAGCUGCAGCUGCCAGCUUAUGCCACAGCCAUGCUGGAUCUGAGCCUCAUCUAUGACUUCCGUUGCAGUCUGUUGGAAUGUCAGAUCCUUAACCCACUGAGCGAGAGUAGGGAUCAAACCCACAUCUUUGUGGAUACUAAUGGGGUUCUUAACCUGCUGAGCCACAAUAGGAAUUCCUCAAGCUCUUUAUAUAAAGAGAAAAAGCAACAGCAGUGUGAUCUUUUUCAACUGCCCCCCAAAUCUGAAUUAAACAGAAAAAAUAUUAACCAGAAAAAUUUCUACAUGUGUAAUUUACAGAUUUUUUUGUUAUACCUAUGGCUUCCAAUUAUAAUUAUCAUUCUUUGUCACACGUCAAAGACAUUUCUCAAAGCUUAAGUGAUUCCGUUGUUUAUACAAGUGCCCUCCUCCCUCCCACAUAUAAAACCCAUUCUCUGAUGAUUCCACUCAACCUCCUUUAAGUUACGCUGACUUCAAGAAGUGGAGAUUUUGGGAGAACACAGUCCCCUCUAUUUCAUGAAGCCUGUAACAUCAUCGUUUGUUUCAGUCUUUUAAACUUAAGCUUUUAAUUAAAAUGUUACAAUAUAUAAUUAAUUAUAUAUGAAGAUUAACUAUAUAAAUAACUCAUUCUAACAAAGUUACUUAAAAGCUAACUUGCUAAUGCAUGUCUAGAAUUCUAGGAGACCCAAAGAAAUAACCCUCACUGACUUGGAGCAGGACAGGGCAGUUGAUAAUCCCAUUGUUUUAUUGUACUAUUCUCCAGACUACAACUUCUCUACCCUUUCCCACUUUUUUUCUUGUAGGAUUGUUUAUUUUCUUCUGUCAUAGAUAGAAGAGUCAACUUCUACAAUGGGCAGCUGUUAUAAAGAGAUGAGGCGAAUCUGGAUGCAACACGACUAUGUCACUUGUCAAGCAUCAACAGCAAGUGACAAGACAAUAUGGCUGGUGUGCUUUUUCUAGGUGUUUCACUUUAAAAUAUUAUUUCAUGAAGACACUACUUAAGGGACUAACAAAGCCUGAACAGAGCAUGGCUUUAAUAUGUUCAGAAAAAGCAAAUUAGUUAUUUCUUCCCCCUAAUCUCAGGAAUGUGUGGGAGGGGACAGAUUACAAGGACGUGAUAGAUAGGAGGUUGAAUGGUUGCAAAUAUGCUAGAUAUUUGUGUGCCCAUGUGGAAUUUUCAAAGAAGUGAUUCAUACUUUUUUGGGUAGUUACCUCUUGAGCUUAAGGUUGAUUUGUGGGUAAUUUAAGAUUUAGACAGGACUUAUUUUCUUCUCUAAUGUUUCCGGAGUCUGAGAAAAACUACACUAGAGCGGAUUUGGUGGAUUUUCUUCUCUUCUUUCAUCUGGUCUACUGAAAAGUACAAGCAGCAGGAUUAAGAAGUUUGGGACAUCUAAGCCCACUUCUCUGACUCCCUGUUGGGUCUCUUGACACCUUGGAAAUGGGUGAGUUUGAUAAAUGGUUUUAAGUAGGUAUUUCCUUUCCUUUCUUUCUCUUCAGAGUUGCCAACCAAGGAGCCUCAAGUUAUUUGGACCACAUUCAAAGGCCUGGGUAUUGAAAACGGCUUCCUAGUUCUCUGCACUCAAUUAUUCUAACAUCAAGAAAGAGCUCUCUAAAGACAGAGUAAUGAAGACAAGCAGCAGACUGCAGGACCUCCCAUGCAUAAGGUCAGUGCAUCAAAAGGCCUUUGUGGGAGAAAUCAAGAUUUAUUCAAGGUAUUCAACUGUGCUCUAACAGGGUAGAAUUACUUUUUUUUUUUUUUUUACACUUCCAGGAAGAGUUGCUUCCUCUACUUGAAAAUACAGACUGGUUUUCUGUAUGUUAGUAAAGUUAGAAACCUAUUUCAGAAGUUUUUGCUUGCUUUGCAUUAUGUCACAUAAUGUCACAUUAUGUCACAGGCUAUACAGCUCACAAUUCUUAGUCAUUGAUGAAAAAUGAAGUUUUCAUUUUGAAAGUGUUAAGGCUGAGAAGGUGGCGUUUUAAUUCAUUCCAUUUCUUCUUUAUC